rnacentral:rRNA from 1 species
GAUGAACGCUGGCGGCGUGCUUAACACAUGCAAGUCGAACGGAAAGGCUCCUGCUUGCCGGGGCACUCGAGUGGCGAACGGGUGAGUAACACGUGGGUGAUCUGCCCUGCACUUCGGGAUAAGCCUGGGAAACUGGGUCUAAUACCGGAUAGGACCAUCGUUUAGUGUCGGUGGUGGAAAGUUUUUUCGGUGUGGGAUGAGCUCGCGGCCUAUCAGCUUGUUGGUGGGGUAACGGCCUACCAAGGCGUCGACGGGUAGCCGGCCUGAGAGGGUGUACGGCCACAUUGGGACUGAGAUACGGCCCAGACUCCUACGGGAGGCAGCAGUGGGGAAUAUUGCACAAUGGGCGCAAGCCUGAUGCAGCGACGCCGCGUGGGGGAUGACGGCCUUCGGGUUGUAAACUCCUUUCGCCAGGGACGAAGCGAAAGUGACGGUACCUGGAUAAGAAGCACCGGCUAACUACGUG